CCUACGGGAUGCACCAGUGGGGAAUAUUGCACAAUGGGCGAAAGCCUGAUGCAGCGACGCCGCGUGAGUGAGGAAGUAUUUCGGUAUGUAAAGCUCUAUCAGCAGGGAAGAAAAUGACGGUACCUGACUAAGAAGCCCCGGCUAACUACGUGCCAGCAGCCGCGGUAAUACGUAGGGGGCAAGCGUUAUCCGGAUUUACUGGGUGUAAAGGGAGCGUAGACGGUAGUGUAAGUCUGAUGUGAAAGCCCGGGGCUCAACCCCGGGACUGCAUUGGAAACUAUAUAAUUAGAGUGUCGGAGAGGUAAGUGGAAUUCCUAGUGUAGCGGUGAAAUGCGUAGAUAUUAGGAGGAACACCAGUGGCGAAGGCGGCUUACUGGACGAUUACUGACGUUGAGGCUCGAAAGCGUGGGGAGCAAAUAGGAUUAGAUACCCCUGUAGUC
rnacentral:rRNA from 1 species